rnacentral:rRNA from 1 species
AUACGUAGGGGGCAAGCGUUAUCCGGAUUUACUGGGUGUAAAGGGAGCGUAGACGGAAGGCCAAGUCUGAUGUGAAAGCCCGCGGCUCAACUGCGGGACUGCAUUGGAAACUGGUCAUCUGGAGUGCAGGAGGGGUAAGCGGCAUUCCUAGUGUAGCGGUGAAAUGCGUAGAUAUCAGGAGGAACACCAGUGGCGAAGGCGGCCUGCUGGACGACAACUGACGCUGAGGCGCGAAAGCGUGGGGAGCAAACAGGAUUAGAUACCCUGGUAGUCCACGCUGUAAACGAUGAAUACUAGGUGUGGGGGGACUGACCCCCUCCGUGCCGCAGUUAAAACAAUAAGUAUUCCACCUGGGGAGUACGAUCGCAAGAUUGAAACUCAAAUGAAUUGGCGGG